rnacentral:rRNA from 1 species
GACGAACGCUGGCGGCGUGCUUAACACAUGCAAGUCGAACGGAAAGGCCCUGCUUUUGUGGGGUGCUCGAGUGGCGAACGGGUGAGUAACACGUGAGUAACCUGCCUUUGACUUUGGGAUAACUUCAGGAAACUGGGGCUAAUACCGGAUAGGAGCUCCUGCUGCUUGGUGGGGGUUGGAAAGUUUCGGCGGUUGGGGAUGGACUCGCGGCUUAUCAGCUUGUUGGUGGGGUAGUGGCUUACCAAGGCUUUGACGGGUAGCCGGCCUGAGAGGGUGACCGGCCACAUUGGGACUGAGAUACGGCCCAGACUCCUACGGGAGGCAGCAGUGGGGAAUAUUGCACAAUGGGCGGAAGCCUGAUGCAGCAACGCCGCGUGCGGGAUGACGGCCUUCGGGUUGUAAACCGCUUUCGCCUGUGACGAAGCGUGAGGGACGGUAAGGAGUAGAGAAGCACCGGCUAACUACGUG